UGUAGCUCAGUUGGUAGAGCAUGGUGUUUGCAACACCAGGGUUGUGGGUUCGAUUCCCGAUUCCA
rnacentral:tRNA from 1 species